CUCACAUUAGAUGGAGCGGCGUUAUACUAUUGUCAGAACUGUCUGCAAAUAUGUUGAUCACCUACCGAAUGUUUUUUGAUCGGCUGAUCAACUCUCAGAUUAAUUGGACACCAUACACGUCCCACAUUAUGGCAUUGCUUCCACGUCAAUGUUAUAACGGUCAAGCGAUGUGGACAUAUGUGGGUCCUAUGGUUUGCUUUCAUCUCGUUGAGAAGCAUAAGCAGAUCAUGUAUUGCGACAGUUCCAUAUGCUACAAAUGCCACCAGAGUUUUGCUCCACAGAUCAGGACCUACACCAAAUUGAUUUAAGAGGCAAGCACGAUCAAGAUUGGAGUAGGAUUCAUGCAGAGCAUAUAACAAUGUGGCAUUCACAAAAUAAUUUUUGUGCCGAAGCAGAAGCAACACAGAAGCCGACAGUAUCAGAUAACUACUUUUCCUGGUACACAUCGAUUACCCGACGCUUCAUGACACGUGAUGGCGCUUCCUGUUAUCACAUGGUAAUAGUUUUAAUAUGAUUUAUAAAUUUAAUACAAGCAUGAACAUUUUUUAAUUAUAUUAUUUACAAUCGUUCAGAAUAAUUUUGUUGAAGACGUACGUCGAGUCUCCAUGGAAAACAAUUUUGAAAUUUUUAGUCCAAUGUGUGACGAAGUCAUGGGAGAUAUAGACAGCCUUGUUCAGCGGACUCGACGUUUAAAUGUUGUCGACACAGAUCGUAGACGCAUUCGACGGCGACGACGACGACAAGGCGAUGAUGUCGUAGAGGGAGAUGGGGAAGCUUCUUAAGUUGUAUAAUUUAAGUGUUUUUAAAUUUUGCUAGAACUUAUUCAAGUUGUAUAAAUAAAAAGUUGAACUUUUUAAAAUUAAUUAUAAAUUAGAAGUUGCUAAUACAUGAUUUAGAUGUAGGAGUAUUCUUAAUAAUAUCAAUAUAUAAUAUAUAUUUUUUAAAAGUA